CCGGGCUAGAAUUAUUUUCAGUAUGAUUUGGGUUAAUGAGUUGACUCGGGAAUGAACUCGGAGGUUUCAUAUGAAAUAAACAAAAUAGAUGAAACGAAAACAGCAAAUCAAGCAGAAUCAUCAGGUGACGGGGCAGGCAGAUUUGCGGCGGAUUACUGGGUGAGAAGAUCCAGAAUUUGCCGUCUCAUGGCAAUGGCGUAGAGGGAUCAAAGAAAGCAGAAAAUUUCAAACCAUUUUGACCCACCAUCAUCAAGCUUAAAACGAAGGCAGUGGUCAACUUCUAAAACAUGAAAUGAGGUUCUGGAAAAAGUUUCCAGCUAGGGUAACCCAAUUGAGAGGCGGGGGCAAUGGAUACUUGAUCGAGUGAUUUGGGGAAAAGGAAUCAUUCUCCAGGGAAUUGGAGCCGUGUGCAUAGAGAUGCUCAAGGCUCAGUGGAAGCUCUUCCCCUUCUAUACUCUUGUCUGCUUGGCCAACUUCCCAAAUCAAGCGAAUUCCACAUGAUUGUAGCUUUGCGGAUGGAGACUUCAACUCCUCUGAGAAUUGCAAAUCGGAUUUGAUGCCUAACUUGUUGAUUUGGUUGCUGAAGUUUUUUAACCCGCGGAUGAUAAGCAGGUGAUCUGAUUUAACAACUUCUUCCUCAUCUUCAGUGCUAGGGUCAGUACUAUGGAAAUCUGGUUUAAGGUAUAAACAAAAGUACCUUUCAUAUCCCCAAUCCCAGUCAUAAGAAAAUGGCGAGAAUUGUAUAUCAAAGGGCCUCUCGCAAGCAAUCACGACACAUGCAUCAAAACCCAGCAAUUUCGGGGACGGCCAAAUUUGGGGUAAGUCAAUCGUUAGGGACUUUCCUUUAUCUAUAUGAUCAAAGUAACUGGGCACCUCGGUUCCAGGAAAGAAAGCGAAUCCCAGUGACUCCUAUUCGAGGACAACAACGAAAAGAAAAAAAGAUGGAGAAUGAUCAAGUUCAGGUUGUUUGCAGUGGAGUAAUGGAAGAAUAAGCUGGAAACAUACCUCUUCGUUUUCUCCCUCGUUGAGAAACUGAGCGAUCAGAUGUUCAUCCCGUUUUAAACCGAAACAAUGACUAAGAUCAAGGUGUUUUACAGAAUGGUUCAAAGGAAGGGAAACAGUUUCCAAGAUUUCACAGCCAUGGGCGUAGAGAGACUUGAGGCACAACGGAAGCCCUUCAAUCGAUUUGAGUUUCUUGCACUUAUUAAGGCAGAGAGUUCUCAAAGAGGAAAGCACUUCGAUGCUGGAUGGCAAUUUCUCAAAUUCAUGGCUGCUAAGAUCUAAAUAUGAUAGCUUGAUAAAAUGUCUAAGCUGAUCUAAAAUUGAUCGAAUGCUCUUGCAGCCAUCAACCCAAAGCUCAAGCCAUUGGAAUCUGCCACAGUCUUGUUCAGCAUAAGAAAGUUCCAACAAUGAUUGGAGGUUUAUACAGCCAGAGAGUUUGAUUGUCUCCAACUGAACCAGCGCUGGCAAUGCUUUGAGUCUGCAACAGUUACGAAAGCUGGCAUAUUUCAACCUGGGAAGUUGAUUCAUGGUUUCUGGUAAAGUCUCAAAAUCAUUGCCACUCCAGUCCAGUUUCUCUAGGAAUUUCAAGCCGCACACGUCAUCUGGGAUCACUUUAAUGUUUAGGUUGAUUAGAAUUAACUCUUUCACGCAGGGGAACAUCGAAAGGCUAAAACAGAGGAAACUUGCACCAUCACUGCUGUACCUGAACCUGCUGAUGUCUACUGAAGUAAAUCCAUGGAACUUGGAUGUGGGUUGAGAUUUUCCCUGUGCUUUCUUCACCGAUUCCUGACCAUGAAACUCUGGCAAGAACUGAAGUGCCUGCCGUGUCCUUGUAGAAAAUUCAAGAGCUUGUUGGUUAUCAGGCGCUAGCUGAUCCCUCUGCAUCAUCCAUUCAUGAUCAAGAAACUCUGAAGUGGCCUUAACUUUCCGUCCUUUCCUCAUAAGCGAUCCAAAACCACAUAAUAUUGUUUUUUUACGAGGUUCUUGUUGCUGCUCCCUCUUUGUCAAUUCACCAGGUGCUUGUUGCUUCUCUUUCUUUGUCAAUUUAUCAGGUCCUUGUUGCUCAGUAGUAAAACUGAGAUGAUCUACGUUGCCAUCAAGCCAAAACAUCUGAAUAUGUAUGUUUCCUCCAAUAGAUAGAUUUGCAAUGGACCUCGUUUCCACUUCUUUACCCGAGAAAUACAAAGCAAUUUGACGGCCGCUCCUAUUCAAUUCCCUUAUAGUGAUAUAACUAGCAAGCUCCUCACAGUAUGAGACAUCAAGCGUCGUCAAUCUAGUAAGGUAGCUGAUGGACUCUGGAAUUUUCUUCAGCCUCUUGCAGCCUUGAGUUAUCAAUUCCUCCAAAUUAACGGCCAUUGAAAGAUCUGGAAGUUGUUCCAGAUUUUCAGAAUCUGACAAGUCCAAUCUUCUCAAGUUUGGCAUCCCCUGAGCAUAUUCAACAAAGAAUAGGAAAAUUGCGAGAAUGUUAAGUACCAGAAGAUACAUUGUUAUAAGCAUAGAUCUGUUAAGAGCUUUUACCACGGUUUCUUUCCAGAAGCUUGUGAGAUUGCUGCGAUGUAGAAUGAUUUCAACAAGAUCUUGCGGCUGGAAUCGGCAAGGGAAGGUUGUCAAGGGAAAUGCGUCCCAAUGUAGUAACCUAAGCCUUGAUGAAAGUAGAUUUGUAUCGUCACCACUGAAAAGCAGCUUGGACUUAAUAUGGUUCGAGUGCUUGUAGAUCUUGAGGAAUUUGAGAGUAUCGUGGUACGCUGUAUACCCUCCCAGAUGCAAUGCAUAAACCAUGUCACACAUAUGUAGUGCCAUGCAAUUGGUUGGUUCGCUUGUCUGUGGGAUUAAAUACGAUAAAAUUAGUUGGCCUACGAACAAGCUUAGUGCAGAAACAACCAUGAACAACAACGAUGUUACAGAUAGACACUGUAAGUGCUUACCGUGUUACG
rnacentral:lncRNA from 1 species